rnacentral:rRNA from 1 species
GACGAAGGGGGCUAGCGUUGUUCGGAAUUACUGGGCGUAAAGCGCACGUAGGCGGAUAUUUAAGUCAGGGGUGAAAUCCCAGAGCUCAACUCUGGAACUGCCUUUGAUACUGGGUAUCUGGAGUAUGGAAGAGGUGAGUGGAAUUCCGAGUGUAGAGGUGAAAUUCGUAGAUAUUCGGAGGAACACCAGUGGCGAAGGCGGCUCACUGGUCCAUUACUGACGCUGAGGUGCGAAAGCGUGGGGAGCAAACAGG